AGGAGAGACAGAAAGAGAGAGAGGACCACAGACAGGUAAAAGAUAGGGACUGGAGACUGGGUAAGAGGAGGAGAGGACAGCAGCCCAGGCGGGAAGGAAGGAAGAAAGGGGAGAGAGAGGUUGAGGACUGCUACAGGAAUGUUGUGGUCUGGUUGAGGGCCUAGAGAACUUGAAGGACUAGGAGAGGUGUGUUGGCUGUGUCACUGUCAGUGGGUAUUUAGUUUGGAGUUAUGGCACCAGGUGUGGCUGAGUUAUGUUCUGUUUGUGGAGAUCUGUUGGCUUUGAGGAACUGUUGCUGGGCAGCUUUCCAGCAAACCUUUUUUUAGUUCAAUACUUUGAAAGUACUUUUCUAGAAGUUCUGCUAGUUGAUAAAAGUGAAAAGCUCCUGAUUGUUCAAUAGAUGAUUCUGAUGUUUGCUACAAGUAGAUGGUGAAGAAUUGACUAUAAUAUUACUGUUGUGACCAAGGAAUCUUUUCAUCUCUGUAAAACCUAAAGUACUCAUAAUCAAAUAGCUUAGAGUCACAUGUUCUGUGCUCUCUCACCAUCAAAUCCCCCUGAUUUGCUGUACCAUGUGAGCUGAGAGUGGGACGUGAGACAGGGGGACGGGGGGACAGGGAGACCAUGAGACAGGCGUAGCAGCAGGUGUUGGAACAGUUGUUAGCUAAUGUCUAUCUGUGGUUUAUGACGUUGGGACAAUGACACUCUGGACCACUAGCAGGAUGUGAAGCCUUCGUCAGGUGAGUAGCAGAAAGGAGAGGGGUGUUCUGUAGAGAGAAGAGGGGACGAGAAGGGGGCACCGCCUGGGUGCAAUCUAGAGGCCUGAAGGUGAGCUUCUGUUUGCUGAGGUGUCACACGGUUCCUGUCUUUGAUCAACAGUGUGGUGUCAGGAAAGUGAGGACCAUGUUAGCUGUUAGCUGUUGGUUUGUCUUGGUCUUGUUAGAUUCUUGAAGGUUCCUAGAAUUCUUUUAGGUUCCUAGAAUGCUUUCAGGUUCUUAGAAUGCUUUUAGGUUCUUAGAAUUCUUUUAGGUUCCUAGAAUGCUUUUAGGUUCUUAGAAUGCUUUUAGGUUCCUAUAAUGCUUUUAGGUUCUUAGAAUGCUUUUAGGUUCUUUGAAUGAUUUUAGGUUCCUAGAAUGCUUUUAGGUUCCCAGAAUUCAUUGCAGAGAAGGGAAAGAUGUAGUAAGGUAGAAUUGAAAAUGUUCAGUGGAGCCAGCUUUCUGGAUGGAGUUUAGUAGAGUGCAUCAAGGAUAGACUGUCUGAAUGACCUAUUUCCACGCUACGGUGGAGACAAGGAAGACUCUGCGAUGUGGAUGAGAACAUGAAUCGCAGUAAAGGAACACGAGGACGAUGUGGGACUCUGACGUCACGGCUACAAAAUAUCAUCUGCCCUCCUGUCUCUCUCUCUUUCUUUCUUCCUCUCCUCAACCCUGUCCUAUCUCCUUCCUCCUCCUCUCUCUCCCUUCCCCCCAUUCCCCCCCCCCCCUCGUCCUGAACAGCACGCCUCGCUGUGGCUGGUCAAACGGAACCAAGUCAGGUGUUUCAAGGAGAGGUUUGGUCCCCUUCAACCAGCUACUGCGUCGUGAACUCAGUCAGCAGACAGACAUCCACAGCGGGAAUGAAAGACAGAGUGUACACUGCUCGUACUGUACUACUGUAGCCUACUGCUGCUGCUUUUGUGUGUCUGAAUCACGGCAAAUUAAUCUACUUUUUGUACCACUGUGGAUUACUUUUUUAGAUGUUUCUGUUACGUACAUUUUUAUGUUGUGUUUAAAAAAAUAAAGAAUUAAAGAUGUGACCGUG